GACGUAGGGCGCGAGCGUUGUCCGGAUUUAUUGGGCGUAAAGAGCUCGUAGGCGGCUUGUCGCGUCGUUCGUGAAAACCCGGGGCUCAACUCCGGGCUUGCGGGCGAUACGGGCAGGCUAGAGUUCGGUAGGGGAGACUGGAAUUCCUGGUGUAGCGGUGAAAUGCGCAGAUAUCAGGAGGAACACCGGUGGCGAAGGCGGGUCUCUGGGCCGAUACUGACGCUGAGGAGCGAAAGCGUGGGGAGCAAACGGG
rnacentral:rRNA from 1 species